AUAUAUUGCCACCAUACAGGUGCCUCUUAGUAAGCUAAGAGGAGAAUAGGGAAGUUCGGAAGGAUUCAUAAAUCCUUAAACGACGCGGUCGCGCCACUGUAAUCGGGAAAGAAUGCUUUUAUUAUGCCACCGGCAAGCGGGAAGGCAAGGGUGUUCUUAUGAACCGUAAGCCAGGAGACCUGCCUGUUUUGGCUGUUAUUU
rnacentral:ncRNA from 2 species